UACGUAGGGUGCAAGCGUUAAUCGGAAUUACUGGGCGUAAAGCGUGCGCAGGCGGUGAUGUAAGACAGAUGUGAAACUCCCGGGCUCAACCUGGGAACUGCAUUUGUGACUGCAUCGCUGGAGUACGGCAGAGGGGGAUGGAAUUCCGCGUGUAGCAGUGAAAUGCGUAGAUAUGCGGAGGAACACCGAUGGCGAAGGCAAUCCCCUGGGCCUGUACUGACGCUCAUGCACGAAAGCGUGGGGAGCAAACAGG
rnacentral:rRNA from 1 species